rnacentral:rRNA from 1 species
GGUCAAGCAUUAAGAGCGCAGGGUGGAUGCCUUGGCACUGAGAGCCGAUGAAGGACGUGAUAAGCUGCGAAAAGCUUCGGGGAGGAGCAAAUAUCCAUUGAUCCGGAGAUAUCCGAAUGGGGAAACCCACUUGAGCAAA